rnacentral:rRNA from 1 species
AGCGAACGCUGGCGGUAGGCCUAACACAUGCAAGUCGAACGGCAGCACAGUAAGAGCUUGCUCUUACGGGUGGCGAAUGGCGGACGGGAGAGGAAUAUAACGGAAUCUACUUUUUCGUGGGGGAUCACGAAGGGAAACUUACGCUAAUAUCGCAUACGACCUACCGGUGAAAGCAGGGGAACUUCGCAGCUUGUGCGAUUGAAUGAGCCGCUGUCGGAUUAGCUAGUUGGCGGGGUAAUGGCCCACCAAGGCGACGAUCCGUAGCCGGUGUGAGAGGAUGGUCGGCGACACUGGAACUGGGACAGGGUCAAGGGGACUGCGAGAGGGAGCAGUGUGGAAUGUGAGGCAGUGGGGGCGAGCCUGGUCCAGUCAGACCGCGUGUGAGACGAAGGCCUUCGGGUUGGAAAGACCUUUUGUUGGGUGAGAAAAGCAGUAGGUUGAUACCACGCUGUUCUGACGGUACCCGAUAAAGAAGCACCGGCUAACUUCGUG